AGUGGACGCUGGCGGUAUGCCUAACACAUGCAAGUCGGACGGCAGCACAUUAAGCCCUUGCCCUUACGGGUGGCGAGGGGCGGACAGGUGCGGAAGACAUCGGAACCUACUCUGUAGAGGGGGAUUACGAAGGCGAAGUCAGACUAACACCGCAUGCAACCUACGCGUGAAAGCACUGGAGCUUCGGUCCUUGGUCGAUUGGAUGAGCCGUUGUCGGAUUAGCUAGUUGGCGGGGUAAAGGCCCACCAAUGCGACGAUCCGUAGCUGAUCCGAGAGAAGGACCAGCGACAGUGGAAGUGGAACACGGUCCAGACUCCUACGGGAGGCAGCAGUGGGCUAUAUUGGGCAACAGGCGCAAGCCUGAUCCAGCCAUACCGCGUAGGCUAAGAAGGCCUUGGGGUGGUGAAGCCGUUUUGUUGGGUAAGAAGAGCAGCAUGUUAAGACGAAGCUGUACUGACGGUACCUAAAGAAUAAGCACCGGCUAACUUCGUG
rnacentral:rRNA from 1 species